AUGGAGCUGGGUGGUGUGGCGAUUCAGAAAAGGAAAGAGGUCACAUACCCUCACGCAAAACUUCAUAGCCACCCCAAAGAAUGGAAUCAGACAUGGUUCUACUGUAAAGACACCUCCCCUGCUGGUGAGAAUCCUUUGCCUGGCUUUCGACCGGAGCGGCUCAGCAACACACACCCUUCUCCACAAAGAUUGACUGCACAGGAGAGAAGUAAAUAUGCUCAUCAGCUAUCAAAGCUCAGAGCUUUUAUGGCCAACGGUUUAACAGGGGUUGAUCUUGCUCGCUGUUGGAUAUCAUGGAGCAUACUGCCUCUUAGUCUGCGCUCCGGUUUGAUGUGCCAGUAUACUGAUCGUGUUGAUAACCCACUGCGACACUCAAGACUCCAGCUCUCUGGUGAAGAAAUCACAGAGGCUGUGCGUAAGAUACUGAAUGAACCGGAACACAUCUGCGCCAGAACCGGCCUGCUUCCCUUCUGUGCCACCAACAAACCGCCAGCUGGCGAUGAUCCGUUUUGGAGCAAAAAACUGCCGCAGGAGAAGCCAGAAAAACCAGACAAACCGGAAAGAGCAGCCCGGCAAAAGACUAAAGCUGUGAAGAAGACUGCCCAUAGGAAAAGAACCACCGCCUCUUCUAAUCCGGCUCUUGACGAUGAGGAUGAUGUCGAAGCCAGCCACGCGGAUGUUGCCGAGGUAAUUAUUCUCUCUUCCGAUUCAGAAACCUUGCCUUCACAAAAAAUCCGUCAGGCAAACCGGAAAGUUAAAUUUUCUCAUCCUCUCGCUUAUUUGGAUCCUAAACUUCUUAUGAAGACCCAACAACACGAAGCUCGCCGCACCACCCGGCACAGCGGCCAGGUAGUUACCUCCGCCGGUUUACCGAACAGUCCGGUUCGGAAACGCCAUUCCGAGGUUACUUCCCACUCAUCUUCUGGCGAGUCAUCGGCUACUCAGCUCCCACCGCUCAAAACGGUGUUUGGGGCCAAACCUAGGCCAAGCAAGAAGGCCCGCCUGGACAAAACGGCCGAAGAGGAUGUCGUUCUUGAAGCGGACAAGACACCCAACGCUGAAGCGGCUAUUCCUGAGGAUAUUCCCAAUGAUCCACCGCAACAAGAUGAUGAUCUUAUUGUAGAAGAGAGACCCGCUGACACCUCGGAUCCUACCCAUCAGCCUACAGGUUCCAUCCGGAUUGAAAGCUCCACCGGUCCAGCAAAGCCUACUGACAAGCCAACAGCUCCAGUGCAAACCGGCGGUACCAAAGAUGAUGAGGUUGUCAUUACUGGUACUGGCCAUACUGAGCCAAACAAUCAUGUCGCUUUAUCCAAACAUUCUGCCAAGGAAGAACUUGCUGCCUUUGGUAAAGGCAAGUGGAACGCUGAUCUGACGACUUACGCUGCUUUGAACGCCCAAGAUAUCCAUUCUGGCUAUCUGAACCGGCUGUAUACCAGCCGUGACUAUGAAGCCGGUCUGGUCAACAUGAUGAAAGACAAAUAUGAGGCGGAGCUGAAGACGAAAGAGAACCAAGUCAUUGAUCUUCAAGAAGCCCUGAAAACCCAACAAGCUGAAACCUCCAAAGCAAAAGAGGAAUUGGCCAGUGCUUUAAGUGCCAUGGAACAACUUAAGGAAAACUUCAAAAAGAAACGGGCGGACUGGGCCACUGAGAAGUCCGCUUUGAUCAAACGAGCAGAGGAUGCUCAGGCUGCACUAAAACCAGUGGCAGAUGAACUAACCAGCAUAAAGCAGCAUGUGCAUGCCAUGACUACUGCUAUCUUUGGGACACGCAUUGGUCACUUGGGGUCAGAUGUACGGAAGAAGCUAAAUGCCGCCUAUACAUUGGUUGAACAAUUGUAUACUGGUGCCCAGCGGAUCAUCUGUACCGCCUCUCAUAACAAACCGGCGCCUACUUUGAUUCAAGAUACUCUGAUGAAACUGUCGGUGCUUCCUGCCCGGAUUGAAGAGCUAAAGAAAUCUGCUGCUCGAACUGGCGCAAUCAAUGCUUUAAUCCGGGAAAAAGCCUGGGUGCCGGAUUUUGAUCCUGUUGAAGCGGCGCAGGGCUAUCCCAGCUUGAAGGAAGACGGAUCAGAAUUCGGUGAAGCGGAUCUGCGAGCGAUAAACCGGGAGGUGCGUCCACUAGCUUGUCAGUUGGCUGAGGAAGCAGACUUGUCUCGUUAUCAAGCGCAAUAUGACAGUCAGAACAAGCGAAUAGCUGCACCAAUCCAUGAAUCGGAAAAUCCGAUUCCGCCAAUCCGUAAGCAUACUUACGCUCCCGAUAUUGACCCGUCCUUGCUGAUCCACGAUGAAGCUGUUUUUCAAGCAUUAAUGGGAAUUCACCGGACAACUGUGGAUUUCCAACCACUAGGUAGGGAUACGGAGGCUGAAGCGGUGCAGGACGACCCACAACCAUCAGGCCAGGCUGGUGACCAAGCUUGA
rnacentral:rRNA from 1 species